rnacentral:rRNA from 1 species
UCCGUAGGUGAACCUGCGGAAGGAUCAUUAACGAGUCUUGAAAGCGGAGAGCUUGUUGCUGGCGCGGAAACGCGCAGGUGCACGGCUUUCCGUGCUCAAUCCACUCAACCCCUGUGCACCCUUGCGAAGCUAGUAGUCUUUCCGCUUGUAAUCUGGUUGUAAUGAGAGGGCUUGUUGCUUUAUGCGCGAGUUCACUCGACCGGAGGGAGAGAGAGGCGAACGCUUUGAUUUUUAUUACAAACCCAAUGUAAUGUCUUGUGGAAUGUAAUGCUCCUUGUGGGCGAAAUUGAAAUACAACUUUCAACAACGGAUCUCUUGGCUCUCGCAUCGAUGAAGAACGCAGCGAAAUGCGAUAAGUAAUGUGAAUUGCAGAAUUCAGUGAAUCAUCGAAUCUUUGAACGCACCUUGCGCCCCUUGGUAUUCCGAGGGGCAUGCCUGUUUGAGUGUCAUGUUAAUCUCAAACCCCAAGUCUUUCUUAAGUGAAAGACUCGGUUUGGUUUGGACUUGGAGGUCGCUGCUGGCUCUCUUUUGUAGUCGGCUCCUCUGAAAUGCAUUAGCUGGACUUUGGUUCGCAUUUACGGUGUAAUAGUAAUACAAAUGUUCGCCGUCGAGUGCUUGCCUAUGAAGUCUGCUUCUAAUCGCCCCCCCCGCGCGGGCAAGGUCUUCGACGACCUUCAUGAACACUUUGACCUCAAAUCAGGUAGGACUACCCGCUGAACUUAAGCAUAUCAAUAAGCGGAGGAAAAG